CUGGCCGGGAGGGUGAGCUCUCAAUCCCCAGGUCCCUUCCUUAAUACAGAGCUCACUUGUGCGUCCAGGCGUACACUAAGCAAACAGGUCGGCGUGUUCCAGCCAUGUAAAAAAAAACCACUCACAGCCAUAAACAGACAUUCGAACUACUAUUGUAGUCUGCUGUGCAGGUGUCAGCUGCAAACUAACGCAUGGACACGUUAAUCUGUUGAGCAGCUCCAGUGCACCACAUAAGGAACAGAGUUGGUGCAGAUUGCAGCUAUCUAGAGGUUUACGUGUUCCGCAAACAAUGCUUUCAGCAAAAGACAGUCUCCUUCUUUAUUUGGCUUCUCUUUUUUUUUGUUCGGCCACAAAGAGCCAGUGACCUCUUUGUCAGUCAGUAUAUGUAGGAUUUACAGGCAAAUGUCAUCCCCGGAUUGACACCAAGGCUCCCGUUUACUUGGCUCGGGCUUGGCUUUAGAUCCGCGUCCUCUAUAGAGAUCCUAUCAGACCGGUUCGGCGAUUGAGGGAAGGAAAUCUGUUGUCGUUACCUGGGCUGGCCUACAUGUGACUCCAGACCUGCAGCAAUGUGGUUGGCUCUUACCUGCGCUAUGAGCAAUAAGUGCUGGUCCAGUCAGUACAGCCAUAUCCCUGAAUGAAUUUUUAAAAACCCUGAUGUUAUUGGACAGGCUUAUAAGGAGAAAAUGCCCUACUUCUAUUUCCUAAAUCUUUAUGUUUUUAUGCAUGUAUACAACCAAAAUACUUCUCAUUUUUUAAACUGGAAAAUAUGGAGGGAAGAGACAAAAGCCAUCAGUGGACAAAAGGCAUUGUGAAGAUAUUGAGUGUAAUGCCCCUGAUUAGUAGCAAUUUCAAACCUGUGCAUUACCAUUUCAGGAAUCUGUUGAUAAGGAACUUCUCUUCAAACUACAACUCCAUGUCUUUUUUUUGUAGAUGACCAAAAAAACGAACAUAACUAAGGGUUGCUGUCCUUGGGCAUUGUAUAAUAAACACAACCUGGGAUUAUCACUGAUGACACUUCUGUAAUAAACACAAUUUAUAGUUGCUA